AAUCCAUUUGCAUCCCUAAAACUAUACUUCUAUUUGAAUUUUUGACAAAUCUAUUAAAAUCCUUUGUAAAUAAUUCUACUCAAACAUAAUUUUGAUAUUAAAAAACCCAUCCACACUCUCCAACAAAUUAAGACUUAAUUUAAUAUUGAAAUCAAACUGACGCUAUUAAAUAAAAUAGAGUCAGAAAUAUAUCGUAACUGACUCAUCGUGAUAUGCAAAAUGCAAUAUUAAGUAUAGAAACAAACAAAAUAUCUUUCCAUCGUAUUUUUUCACCGCAUGUAAUGUAAUCUUUCCGCAAUUCCCCACAAUUUCAAACAAAGCCUAGAUUUUAGGCUCAAAUAAUAUUUGAAAGCAUAACAAUACAAGCUAAUCAAAAGAAGAAAUCCAACCGUAGAAACAAACACGCAGGAAUGUUUUGGUUUUCUCCAAUUUCUCAUAAAAUUAUACAGUUUAUUACUUUCCCACUUUCUCAAUCUUCUCAAAUGAAAAUUAACUAGAAAUAGCAAAUAUUUAAAGUAACAACAAGGCACUAGUUGUGUGAGUGAGCUGUUUUGAAUGAUGCUACCAUUCAAAACACAAUGCAACUAAUGGCCCGUUUGACUUAGUUUCUGAAAAGUGAUUUGUGAAAAAGUGAUUUUGGUUUGAAGAAGUGAUUUUGGUUAAAAGUUGUAAAGCGUUUGGCUGAGUUUAGAUAAAAGUGAUUUUUCUUAAGUAAUUUUGCAAAGCUGUUUGCCAAAAUUUUUUUGAUGUUUGCAUAAAUUAACUAUUUUAUUAAAUUUUAUUUUAAAAUAAUUUAAAAUAUAAAUUUGAAUUUGAAUUAAAAUUAAAAUUUUUAAAUUUCAAAAUUAUACAAAAUUUCAAAUUUGAUAUUUUAAUUAAAAAAAUAAUUUAAAAUUUUUAAAAUUUAAAUAUUUAAAAUUUAAAAUAAUUAUGAAAUUAAAAUUUAAAAUUUAAAAAUUUAAAAAUUUAAAUUUAAAUUUAAAAAUAUAAAUAAUUAGGAAAUUUAAAAUAUAAAAUUUUAAUAUUAAAAAAAUAUCAUUUUAAAUUUUAAAUUCCAAACUUUAAAUUUAAAAUUUAAAAUUUAAAAUUUAAAAUCUAAAAUCUAAAUUUAAAAUUUGAAAUUUAAAAUCUAAAAUCUAAAUUUAAAAUUUGAAAUUUAAAAUUUAAAAUCUAAAUUCAAAUUUUGAAAUUUAAAAUUUAAAUUUAAAAAUAUUAAUUAUGAAAUUUUAAAUAUAAUAUUUUAAUAUUUAAAAAUAUAAAUUUAAAUUUUAAAUUUCAAAGUUUAAAUUUAAAUUUUAAAUAUUAAAAUUUAAAAUUUAAAAUUUAAAUAUUAAAUUUUAUAUUUUAAAAUUUAAAAUUUAAAUUUUGAAUAUUUAAAAUUUAUUUUCAAAAAUUUAAAAUUUAUAUAAAAGGGUAUGAUAGAAUUGUGAGUAAUGGGAGAGGUAUUAUUAAUUAUAAAAGGGUAUGAUAGAAUUGUAUUGUUUGUUUAAGGGUAAUUUCGAUAUUUUAGUAAAAAAAAAUUUAAGUGGGGAAACAGCUUAUGCGGGAAUCAAUUUUGAGAAGCAGGUUUUUUCAGCUUCUGCUUUUGGGGGUUGAAGAAUCAGUUUUCAACUUUUAGAAAGCAGAAUCAGAUUUUUUAGAUACCUUUAUCAAACACUCUAUUGGGCCUAAAAGUGAUUUUCAGCCGAAAAUCACUUUGAAAUAGCUAGGCCAAACAGGGCCUAAGUUGCAUUCCAUGUGUAUAUGUAUUAAACCAA
rnacentral:lncRNA from 1 species